GAUGAAUGCUGGCGGCGUGCCUAACACAUGCAGGUCGAGCGGCAGCGAGGGGUGCUUGCACCCUGUCGGCGAGCGGCGAACGGCUGAGUAACGCGUAGGAAUUUGCCCCAAAGUGAGGAAUAACUGCCCGAAAGGGUAGCUAAUGCCGCAUAUGGUCUUCGGAUUAAAGGAUUUAUCCGCUUUGGGAGAAGCCUGCGUUGGAUUAGGUUGUUGGUAGGGUAAUGGCCUACCAAGCCGACGAUCCAUAGCUGGUCUGAGAGGAUGAUCAGCCAGACUGGAACUGAGACACGGUCCAGACUCCUACGGGAGGCAGCAGUGAGGAAUCUUCCACAAUGGGCGAAAGCCUGAUGGAGCAACGCCGCGUGAAGGAUGAAGGCCUUCGGGUUGUAAACUUCUUUUAUGAGUGAAGAAUAUGACGGUAACUCAUGAAUAAGCACCGGCUAACUACGUG
rnacentral:rRNA from 1 species